GUGCGUUCGUGCGCGGUGCGGCGGCGUUCAGCGGGUUGCUGACGGCCGCCCUUGGGAAGCGCUGCUGUGCGCUGGGGGAGGAAUUGCUUUGCCACGCUUCCUCCGAGCCGCCUCGAGUUGUCAGUACGUCUCUUCUGGGUGUCACGCAGACUGAGCUGUGACGGUCCCGCGGGGACUUUGCAAAGCGGCGUGCCGUGGCCGAUGCACGGGCUGGAGCCUCGCUCCGUGCCCUGCGCUGUGCCUGGAGCCCGGCCCCAGCCGCGGCUGUGCCACAGGGCCCACCGAGAGCAUCCCCUGCCUGCAGAAAUGGGGGCACAGAAACGGGCACGGGAGAUCAGGCACCCCUCGGGCAGGGGCUUUGCAGCGGUGGUGGUGAGGAUGCGAGCCCUCGUGCAGAAAGACAACUCGCCCCACCUGCUCCAAACACUCAGCCACUUGUCUCUGUGAGUGCUCUGAUUACAUUUGCUUAGCAAACUCUUAAUCAUGUUUUACAUUACUCUCCUAUUUUCCCUCAUUUUCAUUGUUGCACUGAAUUUUAAAUUAGAUUACAGGCUCUGCGGGCUAGAGAUCACCCUUUGUUAGUACAAACCGCUCUAAUUGGGACCGAUGAGCCGUGCUCAGCACAGCUGGAUCCCUCCCUGACUGACUGCGCGAUUCUUCCUAGUGUUUGGUCGACCUUUGUGACUGGGACUUCCCAACUGCAUUUCUCACUGAAUUACCGCAUCUCCGCUUACAAAUGCACCGUGUUUCGCUGCUCUGCAAGCAGAGCGUAAAUAGCCCUUCUGAUUUGCAGAGCGGUGUUCCUUCCCUUCGGUGCUCGUCUCGCUGCGGUCACGUUGCACAGGGAGCCUGUAGUAGGAGUGCCCCACGUGCCUGCGGCCCUGCAGGCUGAGGAGCCUGGUGGUGCCUCUUCCUUUUGGGAACAGCCGAGGUCGUGCCCGUUGGACACCAUCAGGUGCACUGGGUGUGUUAUGUGGAACACCAGACAUUGCCAGUAACAGCACCUGUGCUGUGGGCUGGGGCUGUGACAGGAGUGUCCCCGGGUCCUGGAGUCCGGGCCUGUCCCCAAAGGGUGCAAAGAAGGCCGCGGGCACUGCGGAGCCUCCCAGCCUUGAAGCAGCACAGCCCAAAGAACUGCUCCAGCCUCAUCCCUUUCCACCCUCUGUCCUUCUACAGCUCUUUCUCUUACAGUGAGGGCUCUGAGCCCCCUGGGCUCGCGGUACCCACGGCACCCUCCCUGCCCAGCUCCGUGAAUGUCAGGUUGAGGUGGGACUGGGCCUGACGGGCUCGUUGUCCCAUUGGUGUCUCACCACAGCAAGUGCCUGUGGGUCAUUAACAAAGAUGCUGCAAACCUGUUCUGGGAUUUGUGCCUGGUUUUGCCUCAAUAAGCGUACUGUCUUCCCUGCCCCUUCUCCUGUGCUGGCUUCCAGUUGCUUGACUCCCACUUAGAGUUUCAUUCCAGAUUAUUUUCACCCCAGCCCCACUGAAGUUUGCCCUGUUGACUGUCCUUGCACUGGAUCUGUGAGCUGCCAGGUUUUCGGGCUUGUCAUGUGGUGUUAUACUCUUAUCUUCAGCUUGUAUUCCUUCUAAAAUUUUCAUAAUUAAGAAAUUCAGGUAAUUUAUAAAAAUAUUUAACAAUUCUGUGCACAUGCACAUACAAAUCCUGAAUCUGCAGGAUUCUUAUCCGCUGACAUUGAAUUCCAUUGGCACCAUCACACUGCCGAUGGUGCAGCUCUCGGCUCGUCUAACCACCACAUGGCAGGGAGCUUUAUGUUGAAGGUUUCCUAAGCAAGGAACGGGUUGCUCUCAGGAGAACCAGCCAGGUCUCCUGCCACACACUGUGUUCUCUGUGGUCUGAUCAAAGUGGAUCGGGCUUGAUCAAACGUAUUGGCUGCUUACGUAAAACAAUCAUCCUUAGGUGAGAUUGGAUUGGCCAAAGGGUUAUUCCCACGGUGUACAGAACUCGCAUUUCUGGCUGAAAAAUGCAGUGGCAUCCAUAGUGACCCAGGCCGGGUGGGGGCUGGGGAAUGAGGUGCGAUGCAGUGUCCCAACAAAUCAGUGCUGAGCGAGCACACAGCUGCAUCUGGAGCUUCUGAGCAGUCUUCAGGCACCAAAAGGGAGAGGAAUGUACGUAUGGCAGCCAUCCCGGCUGCGAGGGAAAAGGCUGGGGUGAGGUCUGGUUCUCAGAGAAGCCCUUCUGGGGGCUGAAGGGGCAGAGAGAGGGAGAAAUGUCUCUGGCUGCUUAAUUAAAGAAAAAAUAACCACAGCUUUAAAAAAUAAAAGUUAAAACUAAAAUAGAAAGGGACUAUAAGCAGGGGAUUAAAGAGCCUUUCUCCCCUUCAUGUGUCCCCUCCCCGCCACAUAAAAAGGACUCCUUGUGGUCAAGUUGUUUUAUAUUUUCGAAUUUCGAAUAAAGUUGACUUUUAAAUCUUCCUUCGACAUCUGGUUUGCAACGGCAGGAGCAGCAAGCAGAAGGCAGACGGCAGCCGCCUGUCCCCGAUACCCACAGCAGCUCACACAGACAGGCCCCGCUGCUCUGGUGCUUCUGCCGGGCUGGCACACGGCGCUGGUGGCAGCCGCUGGAGGAAAGCUCUGCGUUAGGACGGUCUGCGUUGUCUAAUUUAACUGACCUUGGCGGUACGUUAAUUGGGUUUUGUUCUACCUGAGGACAAUCUGCCUCAAGGGGGAAAUUACGCUAACAGCUGCUGUGUUUUCCUUAUUGCUCAAAUAUUAGCCGAAAGGUUUCCAGAAGAGAAGGUAUGAAACACUUUGUUCUGUGGACUGGAGGGAUUUUAAGGCAUUUUAGAACACUAUGAAAGCAUUCACCCUCUCUUCUAUUUUGUAAAUGGACUCAGGCCAUUGUUGCCCUGGUUGUAGAGCUGUCGAUGUGGCCACAUUGCUGUAUCAAGCAGAUGAAGACACGGCUACGGUGCUGUGGCUCCCAGCCCUGCCCCUGUGCCAGAGGGCUCGGGGACCCUCAGUGUACCCUCAGAGCGGCCUCUCCCCACCUCCAACCCACCAGGGCUGCUUCAGGGCCGCUGGGUCCUCUCCAGGGAGCUGCUGACAUGCCCAAACUCCCACCAGUCCUCCAAAGGCCUCCACGGGACCAUCAGGGCUGAUGUGAUUUCAUUAUGGGUUUCAGCUGGUGUCCCACAGGCUGAAGCCAUUUGCCAUUACAAUUUUGCUUGUAAUGGAGUUAUUUAUUGAUCUCACAAAGUCAUAAAUAGGAAGCUCGGGCGUUCUUCGGCAUGAGAUACCCAGCAGUCUGUUUCCUACAAACAUCAUUAUAUGUCGUAAUUCACUGAAAAAGAUACUCAUUUUUAUGGAAAGGUCACAGUUAUUAAUUAUAUGAAUAGCAACAGCAGCUCUCAGUGAGAUCGCUUCCCAGCUGCGUGCUGCAUGGACGUAUGCACAGACAGGUGGGCAGCUCUGCCUGUGAGGAGCACAGCCUGAGAGAUAACAGAAAAGCAGGAGGGAAGAGGAUUCCGGAGCACAGAGGGCAGAGCCAGGAGAACCGCAGCCACAAAAUAUUUUGUUGCAGUGCAGGGAAGUCUUCAGCAUCCCUCCCAGCAAGCUGGUACCACUGUCCAGGAAAGAUGUCAUGGUCCAUAACCAUAGGAUGCUUGGGUUCCAAGACCCAACUCCUCCUCCAAAGACUGUGUGUGUGCUUCCAAAAACUAUAGAAUCUGCUCCAGAAGAGUGCAGGCAAGGAAUGAAGGACCCUGGAGAAGAAACACUUUCGGGCCCUGGAAGCUGGCGAGCUCCUAUCUUCAGACUGGUGAGGCUGCAGCUGGGUUACAGUGGGUCGCUGGGGGGAGGCUGUGCUCAUAGCAGUGGUGAAUAGGGUGGGAACCCCCUGGGAAUGAGGACAAAAGGAGUUUCCAGCUGAAGAACUCAGAGAAGGAAGAACGUGAUGGCGUUUUAGGGUGCAGUGGGCCAGGGCUGCUGGCAUGGAGACUGGGGCUGCCUCCAGCAGCGGGGAGCAGCACAAAUCAGAACUCACUGCCUUUCUCGAACCGUGCCCUUCUUUGAAGAUAUUUGUGCAGUUAGGAAUUUGCCGUGUUUACUCCCAGGUCAGACAAAACACGGGGGAUUCAAAAC
ensembl:lncRNA